GACGAACGCUGGCGGCGUGCCUAAUACAUGCAAGUCGAGCGAACAGAUGAAGAAGCUUGCUUCUUCUGACGUUAGCGGCGGACGGGUGAGUAACACGUGGGCAACCUACCUUAUAGUUUGGGAUAACUCCGGGAAACCGGGGCUAAUACCGAAUAAUCUAUUCUCUCUCAUGUGAGAAUACUAAAAGACGGUUUCGGCUGUCGCUAUAAGAUGGGCCCGCGGCGCAUUAGCUAGUUGGUGAGGUAACGGCUCACCAAGGCGACGAUGCGUAGCCGACCUGAGAGGGUGAUCGGCCACACUGGGACUGAGACACGGCCCAGACUCCUACGGGAGGCAGCAGUAGGGAAUCUUCCACAAUGGGCGAAAGCCUGAUGGAGCAACGCCGCGUGAGUGAAGAAGGAUUUCGGUUCGUAAAACUCUGUUGUAAGGGAAGAACAAGUACAGUAGUAACUGGCUGUACCUUGACGGUACCUUAUUAGAAAGCCACGGCUAACUACGUGCCAGCCGCCGCGGUAA
rnacentral:rRNA from 1 species